GACGAACGCUGGCGGCGUGCCUAAUACAUGCAAGUCGAACGCAGUGGGGACGGGUGAGUAACACGUGGGUAACCUCCCAUCAGAGGGGAUAACACUUGGAAACAGGGGCUAAACCGAAACUGAUGGAUGGACCCGUGGUGCAUUGGCUAGUUGGGGGGGUAACGGCUCACCAAGGCCACGAUGAAUGGCCGCCCUGUGAGGGUGAUCGGCCACACUGGGAUCGCGACACGGCCCAGACUCCUACGGGAGGCAGCAGUAGGGAAUCUUCGGCAAUGGACGAAAGUCUGACCGAGCAACGCCGCGUGAGUGAAGAAGGUUUUCGGAUCGUAAAACUCUGUUGUUAGAGAAGCGGUAUCUAACCAGAAAGCCACGGCUAACUACGUGCCAGCAGCCGCGGUAAUUC
rnacentral:rRNA from 1 species